rnacentral:rRNA from 1 species
AUGAAGUUGGAAUCGCUAGUAAUCGCGAAUCAGAAUGUCGCGGUGAAUACGUUCCCGGGUCUUGUACACACCGCCCGUCACACCACGAGAGUUUACAACACCCGAAGUCAGUGGCCUAACCGCAAGGAGGGAGCUGCCUAAGGUGGGGUAGGUGAUUGGGGUGAAGUCGUAACAAGGUAUC